rnacentral:lncRNA from 1 species
CCGAAGGUGCUUGAGUUUCGUCUCUGGGGAGGACUUUCGGCCGCCGAACCUGCCGCUGAAAGUGUCCUGUCCAGCUUUCCUUUGCAUGCUUUGCAGGGAUGUUAGAGUGAGUUUAAGGGGAUUCUUGGGGAGUUUCUUAGCAUUGUUCAUAAGCUAGUUUGGUCCCUCAUUUGAGUCCAUCUGUAUAGGUACAGACCAGAGGAACCAGAGAGAGCAGCAGUGAGUUCUGCUCCAGAGUUUUCAGAGCCUGCAGAGUCAGUCCAGAGAGCCAGAGGUGAGUGGAACUAAACUUAAAUCUUUUACUUGCACAAUGGAAUGUUUUAGCAUAUCUCAUGCAUCAUGAUUAUGCCAUAGGUUGAUUGCAU